GGUUCCAUAGUGUAGCGCUUAGCACGUCUGCUUUACAUGCAGAAGAUGUUGGGUUCACGCCCCAGUGGAGCCA
rnacentral:tRNA from 1 species